GAAGCAGUGGUCACAAAAGACAGGGCUGACAAGUGAAGAACAAGAAUGCUGAGAUUUCUCCAGGACACACCUGUGCACUCUUGCAGAGCAGCUGAUCUUGGGGAAGGCUGGUUUUGGCACACAGGUGGUGACAGGGAGGUCUCAACAGGCUCCCAACCCAACCAAAUAAAGGUGGUUUUUCUGCAUUCCUGUAGAGAUCGUGUACACAACAGGGCUGCCAAGUGAGAAGAAAAGGCUCGGGCAGAAAAUAUCACGCUUUAGAAAACAGCGUGUGUGCGUGCGG
rnacentral:lncRNA from 13 species